UGGGGAAUUUUCCGCAAUGGGCGAAAGCCUGACGGAGCAACGCCGCGUGAGGGAGGAAUGCCUGUGGGUUGUAAACCUCUUUUCUCAGGGAAGAAUUUUUGACGGUACCUGAGGAAUCAGCAUCGGCUAACUCCGUGCCAGCAGCCGCGGUAAGACGGAGGAUGCAAGCGUUAUCCGGAAUUAUUGGGCGUAAAGCGUCCGUAGGCGGUUGUAAAAGUCUGCUGUUAAAGCCCACAGCUCAACUGUGGAUGGGCAGUGGAAACUGUAUGACUAGAGCAUGGUAGGGGUAGAGGGAAUUCCUAGUGUAGCGGUGAAAUGCGUAGAUAUUAGGAAGAACACCAGUGGCGAAGGCGCUCUACUGGGCCAUGACUGACGCUGAUGGACGAAAGCUAGGGGAGCGAAAGGGAUUAGAUACCCCCGUAGUCC
rnacentral:rRNA from 1 species